rnacentral:rRNA from 1 species
GAUCAUGGCUCAGGAUGAACGCUGGCGGCGUGCUUAACACAUGCAAGUCGAGCGAAGCACUUUGCUUUGAUUUCUUCGGGAUGAAGAGCUUAGUGACUGGGCGGCGGACGGGUGAGUAACGCGUGGGUAACCUGCCUCAUACAGGGGGAUAACAGUUAGAAAUGACUGCUGAUACCGCAUAAGGCCACAGCACCGCAUGGUGCAGGGGUAAAAACUCCGGUGGU